rnacentral:lncRNA from 1 species
AUAAAAAUCUUCAAAACAAAUGUACAAAUAAGCAAAUAAGAAUAAAAGGGUUACAAGCUAAAAGGAUUCAACUAGAAUCGAUCCAAAACCAAAGAGAUAAUCUGAAAAUAAAGUAAUAAAAGAAAGGACCACUGCGCGAGGCGCGCAAAUAUAUAGGGGCUCAAUCUGGAAAUAUUCCAGGCUCUCAAAACGCCACGUUGGAGCACGGGCCAAAUUGUAAACGCACACGAGUUGCAGGGGCAAUUUAAAAAAAAUGAAACACAAAUAUGAGCUGAUUGAACUGAGGCGCGAAAAGAGAGGGACCGAUGUUGAAAAUAUCCCCUCACCACGAAAAUGCGCGGAUCCCAGGGGCUAAGAAUCGGGUCGGAUCGGGCAUAAAGGGGGUGGCCUAGACGGUGUCGUUUUUACUCCUUUAAAAGGACUAAAAUCAACCAAAUUCCGCCGAUCCUGCUUACCCCCCCUUUUCUUCUCAUUCGACGAACCCUAGAUCCCCUCUCAUCAAAUGCCAAGCCGCUAUCGUAGAUGACCAGCACCCUCAGGCUAUGCGCGACCGCUUUAUGGCCUUGGAGUUCUCCUUAAGUCUCCGAUUUCGGCGAAGCGAAAGAGAACUGAUAGCCUAUUUUCAAGGUAAGGUUUUGUUUCCUUUUUCUUUUUAUUUAGAUACUAAAAAGAAAGAAAAUCAACGGGAAUGGACGAGAAUAAAGCGUAAUAAACCCAGAAACUUAGGAACAGAAAUCGCCUUUUCUUUUUGCUAUUUCUUUUGUAUUCAAUAUAUGAAAAUGUGUAUCUGUAUGUAUUGCCUUUUCAAA